AAACCGACACAGGUGGGUGAGGAGAGUAUCCUAAGGCCCGCGAGAGAAAUUUGUUAAGGAACUCGGCAAAAUGACCCCGUAACUUAGGGAUAAGGGGUGCCACCAUCCGGUGGCCGCAGAGAAUAGGCACAAGCGACUGUUUACCAAAGACAUAGGUUUCUGCUAAGUCGCAAGACGAUGUAUAGGAGCUGACGCCUGCCCGGUGAUGGAAGGUUAAGGGGAUCUGUUAGAGCAAUCGAAGCAGUGAACUUAAGCCCCAGUAAACGGCGGCCGUAA
rnacentral:rRNA from 1 species